rnacentral:lncRNA from 1 species
AAAAUAGAUCUCUAAUAUGCUAGGUUGGAUUGUAGAAAAUUAAAUAAUGUAAGUAGUGAAUUAGUCAUUGUAUUUAAAUACGUUGAAUCAUUUGCCGCUUUCAUAAUUCCUUUUAAAACCAACAAAGUUAUUUUUAAAUGCGGUGAAUUGUUCAUCGUUUUAAAAGCGGUGAACAAUUCACGACCUUUAUUAUUUUACCCUACUCCCGAUCUCUUUCAAUUCUAUCGCUCUCUCUAUCUCACUCUUUCUCAUCCCCCUUUGUCACUCUCUUUAUCUCGAUCUGUCUCACAACCAUCUGUCGUCAUCGCACCUGUUGCUGCCACUGCCGUCGUCAUUGCACCCGCUGCUGCUGCUGCCAUCACCAUUGUAAUAUACCAAAACUCGGUAGGAUAUAUCGGACUUUAGCCAAAUUGACUGAAGUAUGCGAAAGAGAUAAUUGGACAAAGUCAAGUUAAUAUUGCAACAAUAUUGGAAGAGUUAAAAAUGAGUUCUAGAAGAGUUAGAAAGGUUUUAGCAUCGAUUAGCGCGAAAUAGGAUCGAAAAAGAUGCAAAACUGGAAUUCUAGAACUUUGUCACCGAUUUAACACCAGGGGCGUACCGGUACUACAUUGUAAACCGAGAGAAAUAGCUUUCGGGUUUGCCUCUGCGAAAUGUUGUAACCGAUGACAAACCAAUUUAGUACCGGUACCAAGUGUAAUACCCGAGAAGAAUGCUCUCGGGUUUGGUUCUGCGAAAUUGUGUAACCGGUGACAACCCGGCUUGUAUCGGUACCAAGUGCCCCAGAUAGCAGGUUAAGUCUGCUGCAAAUAAAAACAAAUGGAGGGCCUUUUUGCUAUUAUAGCACCUUAUAAAUUACCCCAACACUCCUCCCACCUGUUCACAACAGCAAAUACCUCUAUCCCUCUUAUUUCUCUCUCUCUCUCUAGAGAUCUCUCCAAGGAGCAAGGAAGAGAA